GCCCACGCGGGACUGUGCUGCGGAGCAGGGCGCUUACUGGCCACCGGGUUCCUGCGGCCGCUGCGUCCUGGAGAAUCUGCAGAACAGCCUUCCAAGCAUGGAUUUUACAUAUGGAGAAGACGACAUGGAAGCUACAGCAGGUUUUACGGCAUCUGCAGGGCUGGCAGAUGGUUCACCUGCAAAGAUGCUUGCCACCAAACCUCUGUGGAGCCACGCUCCAGAUCCCACUGGUGGGAGGAGAGAACCAAAUCCUGGAAGCCACCCUGACUGCCACACGGGCAGCACGACAGCCCUGCCGUAAGCACUGUGCCUUACUUUGAAGAAACCCUGGAAUAUGAACAUCAGAAUUCUUGACUGGAUGAGUAAGUAUACACCGCUGACUAAGACAAAAGGCAGCAGGAGCCCCACCCCAAGGUUAUGUAGUUCAGGGAAAACAGAAGGCACGUGGACCAAGCUCUGCUUGUCCUGCUACUGUGUGAACCAAGGCUUACAGAGCACUCAGGCUGGCCCUGAGCUCAUUUGGAAGCCUUCAACUUUUGAGAGUCUCCUGACUCAGCCUCCUAAUGAGCUGUGGUCUCUGCCUUCCUAGGAAAUUUUCAUGGAAACCAGACAUAAGUUGUUCCCAAACCAUCAUGAAAUGGCCUUUAGUUCACAGGAUUAUGGAUCAAGGUAUAGAGUGAAGGCUGGACUCUUAACACAAGGCUGUAUUUCAGUGGGCAUUCUUUCUACGUUUACAUCUACAUGAUGACACCUCAAAGGCCAAGGAUCACUGCACCUAAUCCUGUGAAUCUAUUCAAUUCCUCAGGAGACAGAACUACAACUAUUCACUGCUCUAAGGCUUACCAUAAGUCUUUCUCUAAAAGCUUCUAAAUUUAAUGUAUAGGGAUAGCGGGAUACAAAUUAAAAAAAAAUGUGUAUUUUGGUAGUUUUGUAACACUAAAUAAAUGUACAAUGAAAGGG
ensembl:processed_transcript 4930404I05Rik RIKEN cDNA 4930404I05 gene